UCAGGCCGAACCUAAACCCAAUACGCUAAAACCCCGAGACCCAAAGAUCUGAGAGCAUUAGAGCAACACCACCGGAAUAUGAGCUAAACGGCGAUAAAGAGUUCAUCGGCGUUCCGAUAGUCUUUUAAGCAGAGCCACCGCUUCAAAGUCUUCAUCCUCUCAAUUCCGCAACUAUAUCAUUGUAUACGCAAGCAUUUGACGCGAAUGAGAAGGUUCACGUGGUUUAUGCCGUAUCGGCGUCAUUUGCUUUCGUCUGUGGCCUCAGAACCGCUCGUUGAUAAAGGAGAAUUUUUCAGCAAAUUCUUGUCGUCUCGACAUUCGUUGUUGCUCGCUCGAGCUUUGGUCAGUUACAGUUUCGUCACGAAAACGGAGGACUCUAUGAUUCCGAGAAUAUCAUUAAGAUAUCGUUAUUUUCAUUCCACAGGUUUUGUUGAGUUGAACCUGAAUCGCCUUGUUUCUAGUUAUUAGUGAUGUUAAGAUUUGUUAAGAUUUCCACAUGGUUUCCAUUUUCUGCUUGUGUUGUUCCAGCAUCUUCUUCUUCAGCCGAUCGAGACUACUAUCAAAUUCUAGGUGUUCAUGAAAAGGCCAGUCAGGACGAGAUAAAGAAGGCAUUUCACUCGCUUGCUAAAAAGUACCAUCCAGAUGCAAAUAAGAAUAAUCCAUCUGCUAAGAGGAAAUUUCAAGAUAUAAGAGAAGCUUAUGAGACAUUGAGAGACUCUAAAAAGAGAGCAGAGUAUGACAAGAUACGUACUCAUGGUUCAGAAGACAUAGAAUAUGAUCAAGAUGAUGCAGAAAGGUUUAGAAAUGCUUAUCGUUCUCACUUUUCUGAUUCAUUUCAUAAAGUAUUCUCUGAGAUAUUUGAAGAAGCAACAACUCAAUUCUCAUCAAAUAUAGAGGCAGAGUUGUCUCUUACUUUCUCAGAAGCUGCGAGAGGAUGCACUAAACACAUGUCAUUUGAUGCUUUAGUUCCCUGUGAUUAUUGCAAUGGGCAGGGCCAUCCACUUGAUGCCAUCCCAAAAGUUUGUCCAACAUGCAGGGGCUCAGGUCGAGUUACAAUCCCUCCAUUUACAUCCACAUGCAUUACUUGUAAAGGAUCAGGCCGCAUCAUUAAGGAUUUUUGUAAAUUGUGUGGAGGAUCUGGGGUGGUUGAAGGGGUUAAAGAGGUUAAAGUUACGAUACCAGCAGGUGUGGAUUCGGGAGAUACAAUCCAUGUGCCAGAAGCUGGGAAUGCAGCUGGAAGUGGAGGUCGACCUGGAAGUUUAUACAUUAAAAUAAAGGUCGCUGAGGAUUCAGUCUUUAUCAGAGAUGGUGCAGAUAUCUAUGUGGAAUCUAAUAUUAGCUUUACUCAGGCUAUUCUUGGUGGCCAAGUGGAGGUGCCUACUCUAUCUGGGAAUAUGCAAAUAAAAAUACCCAAGGGUGUUCAACAUGGACAGCUUCUGGUAUUAAGAGGCAAAGGCCUACCAAAGCAUGGUUAUCUUGUACAUCAUGGGGAUCAGUAUGUACGAUUCCGUGUUAACUUUCCCACUGCAAUCAAUGAACGACAACGUGCUAUACUUGAAGAACUUGCAAAGGAGGAAAUAAAGGAGGGAACUGGCUCUUCAUUUGAAGGAAAUUGGCUUUACCAGCAGCUAUCUACUGGUUGAACUUACAGGUGGCAGCAAAUUCUUGAACACAUGACGGGUCCAAAGUAUAUGCUGGAACUAUCUAUGCUGAUAUUAUUCCUUGUCUUCAUUAACAAAGUGUUGAGCUGAUAGCUUGCUCAUAGUUCAAACACAAUUGCAGUGGACUUGACAAAGACAAAUCCAUGUAAUUGCCAUAUUCUUCAUCCUUACGGAUCAUGUAAAGUAUAAGUUAUAGGCACCUGACAUCUAUGGAAGUGGUGAAUCUACGGAAAUCAAGGCUAUCGCUGAAAUGAUGCUAUUUCUCAGUGCCAAAUCCUUUUCCAUUUUAUCAAAUUUUCAAUGGAUAAGUUGCCAGUGAAACGAUGCUGAAAAAUUAUUUCAUGAGAAUUCUUCAACAAGUUUUGCUGAUUUAUGCGAAGGUCGCCGUGGAAUACAAAUAAAAGGUGGAAACUUCCGAUGUAUAUUUUUUCCCCGUAAUUGUUUAAAUAUAUUUUACUGUGCAUUUGAUGUUGUAAUUUCCCCUGCUCCGGGGGAUGUGGGGUUUGGUUUCUUCAAUGUAUUCUUUUAGGCUUUAAACCGUAUACCACAAAUUACUUUCUGGAAUUCAACGAAUAAUGAUUGUUAGCUGCUAAGCAGAGCAAUUUUUUAUUAAUU